rnacentral:rRNA from 1 species
UACGACUACAUAUCAGGCAUAUCAAUAAGCGGAGGAAAAGAAACUAACAAGGAUUCCCUUAGUAACGGCGAGUGAAGCGGGAAGAGCUCAAAUUUGAAAUCUUCAAGGUUCUACCUUGACGAAUUGUAGUUUAAAGAAGUGUUUUCUGUUAGAGGAGUAGCAAAAGUUCCUUGGAAUGGGACAUCAUAGAGGGUGAGAAUCCCGUAUUUGGUUAUUCUUUCUAGCUUUGUGAUACACUUUCAAAGAGUCGGAUUGUUUCGGGAAUGCAGUCCAAAAUGGGUGGUAAAUUUCAUCUAAAGCUAAAUAUUGGCGAGAGACCGAUAGCGAACAAGUACCGUGAGGGAAAGAUGAAAAGAACUUUGAAAAGAGAGUUAAACAGUACGUGAAAUUGUCAAAAGGGAAGCGUUUGACACCAGUGUUGUUUUCUCGAAAAUCAAUUAAGAAGGGCUUGAUUUUGUGUUGUAUUGACCUUAUCAGCUUUCUUCACUCUUUUUCGAGUCUUUCUUAAUGCACUUUUCGGUUAACAAGUCAACAUCAAUUUCUUUUGUUGUAAAAGGGUAUUUGGGAGGUGGCUUUCUUUUCGGAGAAAGUGUUUAUAGCCUUAUACCUCUACAAUCGGAGAGAUUAGGUCUGCAGCGUAGAUCCUUCGGGGCUAGAUACACUUGUGCUAAGUUAUAGCUUUUCAUAGACAACUUGUUGACUAUGUUUAGUCAUGUAGCUUACCCGCUUGUGCUAUUUUACCUACGCUUAGGAUGUUGAUCUACAGAGCGAGAGU